GAUGAACGCUGGCGGCGUGCCUAAUACAUGCAAGUAGAACGCUGAAGGAAGGAGCUUGCUCUUUCCGGAUGAGUUGCGAACGGGUGAGUAACGCGUAGGUAACCUGCCUGGUAGCGGGGGAUAACUAUUGGAAACGACAGCUAAUACCGCAUAACAGUAGAUGUUGCAUGAUAUCUACUUAAAAGGUGCAAUUGCACCACUACCAGAUGGACCUGCGUUGUAUUAGCUAGUUGGUGAGGUAACGGCUCACCAAGGCGACGAUACAUAGCCGACCUGAGAGGGUGAUCGGCCACACUGGGACUGAGACACGGCCCAGACUCCUACGGGAGGCAGCAGUAGGGAAUCUUCGGCAAUGGACGGAAGUCUGACCGAGCAACGCCGCGUGAGUGAAGAAGGUUUUCGGAUCGUAAAGCUCUGUUGUAAGAGAAGAACGAGUGUGAGAGUGGAAAGUUCACACUGUGACGGUAUCUUACCAGAAAGGGACGGCUAACUACGUG
rnacentral:rRNA from 1 species